rnacentral:rRNA from 1 species
UACAGAGGUGGCAAGCGUUGUUCGGAAUUACUGGGCGUAAAGGGCGCGUAGGCGGCCAUCUAAGUCAGACGUGAAAUCCCCCGGCUUAACCUGGGAACUGCGUCUGAUACUGGACGGCUGGAGUUUGGGAGAGGGAUGUAGAAUUCCAGGUGUAGCGGUGAAAUGCGUAGAUAUCCGGAGGAAUACCGGUGGCGAAGGCGGCAUCCUGGACCAAUACUGACGCUGAGGCGCGAAAGCUAGGGGAGCAAACGGG